rnacentral:pre_miRNA from 1 species
UUAAGUUUCGAGUUUGUUUCAGAUAAGUCCUUUCUAUCAAAUCAAAUUUGACUUAACAGAGGUUGAUAGAAAGGAUUUAUCUGAAACAAACUCGAAACUUAAAG